ACGGGUGAGUAAUGUCUGGGGAUCUGCCCGAUAGAGGGGGAUAACCACUGGAAACGGUGGCUAAUACCGCAUAACGUCGCAAGACCAAAGAGGGGGACCUUCGGGCCUCUCACUAUCGGAUGAACCCAGAUGGGAUUAGCUAGUAGGCGGGGUAACGGCCCACCCAGGCGACGAUCCCUAGCUGGUCUGAGAGGAUGACCAGCCACACUGGAACUGAGACACGGUCCAGACUCCUACGGGAGGCAGCAGUGGGGAAUAUUGCACAAUGGGCGCAAGCCUGAUGCAGCCAUGCCGCGUGUAUGAAGAAGGCCUUCGGGUUGUAAAGUACUUUCAGCGGGGAGGAAGGCGAUAAGGUUAAUAACCUUGUCGAUUGACGUUACCCGCAGAAGAAGCACCGGCUAACUCCGUGCCAGCAGCCGCGGUAAUACGGAGGGUGCAAGCGUUAAUCGGAAUUACUGGGCGUAAAGCGCACGCAGGCGGUCUGUUAAGUCAGAUGUGAAAUCCCCGGGCUUAACCUGGGAACUGCAUUUGAAACUGGCAGGCUUGAGUCUCGUAGAGGGGGGUAGAAUUCCAGGUGUAGC
rnacentral:rRNA from 1 species